UGGUAAGAGUUUUUCUGGUUCAAUUACAUCAUCUUUCUUCAUCUUCCUUCAAUUUCAAUUUUCCCUUGAGUUUAUUCUCCUCUUCUUCACCCCAAACAAACCCUGAAACCUGCAAAACAUUCCUCUUAAAAUGAUAAGCCUUUCCAUGCCUUCCAUAAAGAAGAUUGUGAAUGAUUGCCAGCAUUUCAUCACCUGCUUGGAUAGUUUAUAUGCCACAUUUGGAAUGUUCUUAAGCUGUGUGCCUUUGCCCUGUUCAAUGAUGAAUUAUCUGGGGCUAUCCCUCAUGGUGGAAGGAUCAAAGUUUUUUACAGGAUUCUUUUCUCUCACAGGCCGAUCCAGCGGAGUAGUAAGCGUUGAAAGUAAAUCCUUGGUUUUCUCUUCUCUGAAUUCUUCAGCCAUAUCGAGAUUCGAACCUGUGACUUAAGGUUCAAACCCUGGAAUUCAAAAUUUUUUUUCACAUUCUGGCUGGUAAAAGAUGAAGAGGCAAAACGGACGAUCAGAAAAUAGCAACCAAAUGAGAUCAAAUUCCCUCUUCCAGAGGACAUGAGUAUCUUGACAGAGUAGAAUAUCAUCAAGUGUUGUGUGAAGCAAUGCAAUGAUUGCAGGUUAGACACAAAUUAGAUUUGCUGAAAAGAGUUUAGAAACUUUUAAGCAAAUGCAGAUGUAGAUGCAGAUUUCACAACCUUUUUCAGUGCACUUUCUGUCUGUGCAAAACGGGAGACUUGGAAGAGGAUGUUGAAAUCGAUCAAAGCAAAAAGAAUUGGGAUAGAAAAAUGUCUAAAUGUUUAGCUAUUUCUUCCUAAGCAUGAAAUGCAGAAUUGUAAAUUGGCUUUGACA